rnacentral:rRNA from 1 species
GACGAACGCUGGCGGCGUGCCUAAUACAUGCAAGUCGAGCGGACUUUCAAGAAGCUUGCUUUUUGAAAGUUAGCGGCGGACGGGUGAGUAACUCGUGGGCAACCUGCCUGUAAGACGGGGAUAACUCCGGGAAACCGGGGCUAAUACCGGAUAAUAUCUUUCUUCGCAUGAAGGAAGGUUGAAAGGCGGCGAAAGCUGCCGCUUGCAGAUGGUCCCGCGGCGCAUUAGCUAGUUGGUGAGGUAACGGCUCACCAAGGCGACGAUGCGAAGCCGACCUGGGAGGGUGAUCGGCCACACUGGGACUGAGACACGGCCCAGACUCCUACGGGAGGCAGCAGUAGGGAAUCUUCCGCAAUGGACGAAAGUCUGACGGAGCAACGCCGCGUGAGCGAAGAAGGUCUUCGGAUCGUAAAGCUCUGUUGUCAGGGAAGAACAAGUACCGUUCGAAUAGGGCGGUACCUUGACGGUACCUGACCAGAAAGCCACGGCUAACUACGUGCCAGCAGCCGCCGUAA